rnacentral:misc_RNA from 1 species
GAUGAAGAACGCAGCGAAAUGCGAUACGUAAUGUGAAUUGCAAAUUCAGUGAAUCAUCGAGUCUUUGAACGCACAUUGCGCCCCCUGGUAUUCCGGGGGGCAUGCCUGUCCGAGCGUCAUUGCUGCCCUCAAGCACGGCUUGUGUGUUGGGCCCCGUCCUCCGAUCCCGGGGGACGGGCCCGAAAGGCAGCGGCGGCACCGCGUCCGGUCCUCGAGCGUAUGGGGCUUUGUCACCCGCUCUGUAGGCCCGGCCGGCGCUUGCCGAUCAACCCAAAUUUUUAUCUAGGUUGACCUCGGAUCAGGUAGGGAUACCCGCUGAACUUAAGCAUAUCAAUAAGCGGAGGA